rnacentral:rRNA from 1 species
GUAAAUAAUAAAGGGCGUAUGGUGGAUGCCUAGGCUCUCAGAGGCGAUGAAGGACGUGAUAAGCUGCGAAAAGCUCCGUUUAGGUGCAAAUAACCUUUGAUGCGGAGAUCUCCGAAUGGGAUAACCCAAUAUGUUGAAGACAUAUUAUACCGUAAGGUAGGCAAACGCAGGGAACUGAAACAUCUAAGUACCUGCAGGAGAAGAAAACAAACGUGAUUCCCCCAGUAGCGGCGAGCGACCGGGGAUAAGCCCAAACCGUUAUUGUUUCGGCAGUAGCGGGGUAGUAGGACUGCGACAUUGAUGAAAUAAAUGAAAUGGAACACUUUGGAAAAUGUGAUCACAGAGGGUGAUAAUCCCGUACAUGUAAGUUUAUGAAUCAUAGCAGACUCCUGAGUAAGUCGGGACACGUGUAAUCCUGACCGAAUCCGCCGGGACCAUCCGGCAAGGCUAAAUACUCCUGAGAGACCGAUAGUGAACCAGUACCGUGAGGGAAAGGUGAAAAGCACUUCGAACAGAAGAGUGAAAUAGUCCCUGAACCCAUACGCCUACAAGCAGUCGGAGCCGCUUCGUGCGGUGACGGCGUGCCUUUUGCAUAAUGAGCCUACGAGUUACUCAUCACCAGCGAGGUUAAGUACUUCAGGUACGUAAGCCGAAGCGAAAGCGAGUCUGAAUAGGGCGUCAAGUUGGUGGUGGUAGACGCGAAACCUUAGUGAUCUACCCAUGGGCAGGGUGAAGGUUUGGUAACACAAACUGGAGGCCCGAACCGGUAAACGUUGAAAAGUUUUCGGAUGACCUGUGGGUAGGGGUGAAAGGCCAAUCAAACUGGGAAAUAGCUCGUACUCUCCGAAAUGCAUUUAGGUGCAGCCUCUGUUGUUUUGUUCUAGAGGUAGAGCUACUGAUUGGAUGCGAGGGCUUCACCGCCUAUCAAAUCCGGCCAAACUCCGAAUGCUAGAACAUGAAGACAGGGAGUGAGCCAGCGGGUGCUAAGGUCCGUUGACGAAAGAGGGAGAACUCAGACCAUCAGCUAAGGUCCCCAAUUAUAUGCUAAGUUGGAAUAAAAACGGGGUGGGACUGCUUAGACAGCUAGGAUGUUGGCUUGGAAGCAGCCAUUCAUUUAAAGAGUGCGUAACAGCUCACUAGUCGAGCGGUCCUGCAUGGAUAAUACGCGGGCAUAAGCAUAUAACCGAAGCUAUGGGAUUGUAGAUGAUACAAUCGGUAGGAGAGCAUUCCAUUCAGCAUAGAAGCAGUAUCGUGAGGUAUUGUGGAGCGGAUGGAAAAGCAAAUGUAGGCAUAAGUAACGAUAAUGCGGGUGAGAACCCCGCACGCCGAAAGAUCAAGGAUUCCCCGGCAAUGUCAAUCAUCCGGGGGUAAGUCGGAUCCUAAGGGUAAGCCGAGUGGCGAUCCCGAUGGCAAACAGGUUAAUAUUCCUGUACUGAUCAUAACUGCGAUGCAGCGACGCAGAGGUGACACUGCUGCGUACUGACGGAAUAGUACGUUGAAACCCGUAUUCUUUGAUACCGGUAGUGAAGCACGCCGGUAGAGAUGAAAGGUGAUAGUACCGCAAUGCUUCGGUUGCGCGGAUAAUGCAGGUAAGCUGACUGCCAAGAAAACCUGCUAAGCUUCAGGUAAUGAUCAUCCGUACUGUAAACGGACACACGUGAUCAGGUAGAAAAUACUAAGGCGCUCGAGAGAUUCAUGGUUAAGGAACUAGGCAAAAUGGUCCUGUAACUUCGGGAUAAAGGACGCUCUUGUGAAAGAGCCGCAGAUAAUAGGCCCAGGCGACUGUUUACCAAAAACACAUGGCUAUGCUAAUUCGCAAGAAGAUGUAUAUGGCCUGACACCUGCCCGGUGCCGGAAGGUUAAGAGGAGAGCUCAGAGGUAACUCGAAGGUUUGAAUUGAAGCCCCGGUAAACGGCGGCCGUAACUAUAACGGUCCUAAGGUAGCGAAAUUCCUUGUCGGGUAAGUUCCGACCUGCACGAAUGG